CAAUAGCGUAUAUUAAAGUUGUUGCAGUUAAAAAGCUCGUAGUUGGAUUUCUGGUGGGAGCGAUCGGUCUGGCGCUUAGCGCGAGUACUUGCAUCGUCUCCGGCCAUCCUUGGGGAGAGUCUGUCUGGCAUUAAGUUGUCGGGCAGAGGAUCCUCAUCGUUUACUGUGAAAAAAUUAGAGUGUUCAAAGCAGGCUUAUGCCGUUGAAUGUAUUAGCAUGGAAUAAUAAGAUAGGACUUUGGUACUAUUUUGUUGGUUUGCGCACCAAAGUAAUGAUUAAUAGGGACAGUUGGGGGUAUUCGUAUUCCGUUGUCAGAGGUGAAAUUCUUGGAUUUACGGAAGACGAACUACUGCGAAAGCAUUUACCAAGGAUGUUUNCAUUA
rnacentral:rRNA from 1 species